rnacentral:rRNA from 1 species
UACGGGGGGGGGCAAGCGUUGUUCGGAAUUACUGGGCGUAAAGGGCGCGUAGGCGGCCUGUGCAAGUCAGUUGUGAAAUCUCCGAGCUUAACUCGGAACGGUCAACUGAUACUGCUCGGCUAGAGUGCGGAAGGGGCAACUGGAAUUCUUGGUGUAGCGGUGAAAUGCGUAGAUAUCAAGAGGAACACCUGCGGCGAAGGCGGGUUGCUGGGCCGACACUGACGCUGAAGCGCGAAAGCCAGGGGAGCGAACGGG